UGAGAUGGGGUGAAAUGAAAGCAGAUACUUCCCCCGGUAUUAUUAAAUGAAAGAAGAAUCGAAACAGAGGAUGUUUUAGGGAACAAAGAGAAUCAAGCAGCAGCAGAAAAUAAACACAAGGAAAAAGUAUAAAAACCAAAAUGGAGAUCAGACGGCAAUGUUGGGUGGAAUUGAAGACGGAUGCACAGAAUUACUGGCAGAGAGCGAAGCAAGCCGAUCUCAGAUCUGCACAUGCACUUUUUUCUUCCUCUGUGAACAAAGAUGGCCCCA
rnacentral:lncRNA from 1 species